UACGUAGGGUGCGAGCGUUGUCCGGAAUUAUUGGGCGUAAAGAGCUUGUAGGCGGUUUGUCGCGUCUGCUGUGAAAAUCCGGGGCUCAACCCCGGACUUGCAGUGGGUACGGGCAGACUGGAGUGUGGUAGGGGAGACUGGAAUUCCUGGUGUAGCGGUGGAAUGCGCAGAUAUCAGGAGGAACACCGAUGGCGAAGGCAGGUCUCUGGACCACUACUGACGCUGAGAAGCGAAAGCAUGGGGAGCGAACAGG
rnacentral:rRNA from 1 species